rnacentral:tRNA from 1 species
AAAAAGAUAAGCUAAGUCUAAGCUUUUGGGUUCAUACCCCAAGUAUAAAGUAACCUUUUCUUUUUA